CGUAGGGUCCAAGCGUUAUCCGGAAUUACUGGGCGUAAAGAGUUGCGUAGGUGGCAGAGUAAGUAGAUAGUGAAAGCGUGUGGCUCAACCAUACAUCCAUUAUCUAAACUGCUCAGCUUGAGGAUGAGAGAGGUAGAUGGAAUUUCUGAUGUAGGGGUAAUAUCCGUAGAUAUCAGAAGGAACACCGAUGGCGUAAGCAGUCUACUGGCUCAUUCCUGACACUAAGGCACGAAAGCGUGGGGAGCAAACAGGAUUAGAUACCCUGGUAGUCCACGCCGUAAACUAUGGAUGCUAGCUGUAAGAGGUAUCGACCCCUCUUGUAGCGAAGCUAACGCGUUAAGCAUCCCGCCUGUGGAGUACGAGCGCAAGCUUA
rnacentral:rRNA from 1 species